rnacentral:rRNA from 1 species
GAUGAAUGAGGGAGGAGGGAAGAAAAAAGGGAAGUAGAGCGGUAGAGAGGGGUGCUUGACAUCUGUAGGAGAGCGGAGAAAGGAUGAGUAAAGCGUAGGAAUUUGAACCAAAGUGAGGAAUAACUGCCCGAAAGGGUAGCUAAUGCCGCAUAUGGUCUUCGGAUUAAAGGAUUUAUCCGCUUUGGGAGAAGCCUGCGUUGGAUUAGGUUGUUGGUAGGGUAAUGGCCUACCAAGCCGACGAUCCAUAGCUGGUCUGAGAGGAUGAUCAGCCAGACUGGAACUGAGACACGGUCCAGACUCCUACGGGAGGCAGCAGUGAGGAAUCUUCCACAAUGGGCGAAAGCCUGAUGGAGCAACGCCGCGUGAAGGAUGAAGGCCUUCGGGUUGUAAACUUCUUUUAUGAGUGAAGAAUAUGACGGUAACUCAUGAAUAAGCACCGGCUAACUACGUU